AUUGAACGCUGGCGGAAUGCUUUACACAUGCAAGUCGAACGGCAGCACGGGCUUCGGUCUGGUGGCGAGUGGCGAACGGGUGAGUAAUGUAUCGGAACGUGCCCAGUCGUGGGGGAUAACGCAGGGAAAAUUACGCUAAUACCGCAUACGAGCUAUGGAUGAAAGCGGGGGAUCGCAAGACCUCGCGCGAUUGGAGCGGCCGAUAUCCGAUUAGGGAGUUGGUGGGGUAAAGGCCCACCAAGCCAACGAUCCGUAGCGGGUCUGAGAGGACGACCAGCCACACUGGAACUGAGACACGGUCCAGACUCCUACGGGAGGCAGCAGUGGGGAAUUUUGGACAAUGGGCGAAAGCCUGAUCCAGCCAUUCCGCGUGCAGGAUGAAGGCCCUCGGGUUGUAAACUGCUUUUGUACAGAACGAAAAGGUUUCUACUAAUACUAGGAGCUCAUGACGGUACUGUAAGAAUAAGCACCGGCUAACUACGUGCCAGCCGCCGCCGUAAAAC
rnacentral:rRNA from 1 species